AUAGUUGAUCCUGGCUCAGAUUGAACGCUGGCGGCAGGCCUAACACAUGCAAGUCGAACGGUAACAGGAAACAGCUUGCUGUUUCGCUGACGAGUGGCGGACGGGUGAGUAACGCGUGGGUAACCUGCCUUAUACAGGGGGAUAACAGUCAGAAAUGGCUGCUAAUACCGCAUAAGCGCACAGAGCUGCAUGGCUCAGUGUGAAAAACUCCGGUGGUAUAAGAUGGACCCGCGUUGGAUUAGCUAGUUGGUGGGGUAACGGCCCACCAAGGCGACGAUCCAUAGCCGGCUUGAGAGGGUGAACGGCCACAUUGGGACUGAGACACGGCCCAGACUCCUACGGGGGGCAGCAGUGGGGAAUAUUGCACAAUGGGGGAAACCCUGAUGCAGCGACGCCGCGUGAAGGAAGAAGUAUCUCGGUAUGUAAACUUCUAUCAGCAGGGAAGAUAGUGACGGUACCUGACUAAGAAGCCCCGGCUAACUACGUGCCAGCAGCCGCGGUAAUACGUAGGGGGCAAGCGUUAUCCGGAUUUACUGGGUGUAAAGGGAGCGUAGACGGUGUGGCAAGUCUGAUGUGAAAGGCAUGGGCUC
rnacentral:rRNA from 1 species